UCGUGUCUUGCCUCCUACUCCUGGUAUGAGGAUGCUGUUGACAUAGCUAUGCAGCUGAUUUGAAGAUACUUCAGUCUCCUUUCCAAGAAUGGCUUCCAACAAGGCAUCAUGGAUGAAAAUAUACUGCUCCUGAAAGCAUGCUGUCUAUCACAAUGUAGGUGCCUGUCCUGCCCACGCCAGCGCUGUAAAGAAUGAAGGCACUCAACUAGGACUUUGUCAUCCCCCCCCCCCAAUCCAUGGUCACAAUGCAAGUAUCUAAUGAAAUGAGAAAUAACCCUCUUGUCUAGAUAACCUAGUAUAAAUGACAAAGGAUAUUCACAUAGAUUACACCUCAAAACUUCACUAGGACACGUCUCACUAUGAACAAUCUUGACAAGGAGUACAGACUUUCCCAUAGGAGCUGGGAGACAAAGGGUGUGCACUCGGACUCCCUUGCAGCUCAAGCAAAGGCAUGAGACUCCAGCUGCAAGGGACUGAGAGGCGUCUCAUGGCAGCAGCAAUCUCCACACCACGACUGGCCUGCUGAGGCACUGUGUGGGCAGCCUUUGAACUUGCGCUUGGUUCUCCAACUCUCCCAGGAAGUCUGAAGGAAGAUUUGGCCCAAGUAAUCAAAACAGUAGCAGAGUUUCCAUGGUCCAAGUUCACAAGGCCCAAGCUCCUGCUCAGCCCCCUUCAUGUGUUGAAUCCCAGGUAGAAAAAAGAGAAGGACGCUGGCUCUACCUGCAGUGCACCAACACAGGGCCCAUGUCUGGCAUCCGAGCUGCUGAGGAUCUCCUCACGAAGGUCAGGACCGGGAGGGCAUACUCAGGAACUCCCAUGUCAGGCCACUGUGUAUAGUGAUACUGGAUCACUGCCCUCUCGUUCUGACGACCCUUGGGAUUUCCUUUCUGGCCCUGUGAAUGAUGUAAGAAGACCUCUUUAAUCUGCAUAUGAGCAUUCUGGAAACAAAUAAGGACUGUGUGGCUCAUUUAGAUGCAGAUAAUAUCAUCUGAUCCUGGAGUGGCUUUUCUCCAUCAAAACUGGCAUUUCAGAGUUAAUGUGAUUAUAAUAGGUAUUAAAACCCUUUAAAAUGACACUGGCCAAUGGAGUGUAUAUAGUAAAGUAACCUAUUUAUUAGCACUGAUAUUUUAAACUUGUUUGCAUUUUCUCUAUGUAAGAAUCAAGUCUUAAUGUGAACAGUCGUACAACCAGAGGAGAGGGCCAGUGGGGAAAAGGAGGUCUAACACAACAAAAAUAGUUCAUUUAAUUGAGAAGCUAGAUUACUUCUUGCCUGGAGUUGUCAACGGGAGAUGCUGGCUACAGCAUACUUCAAGACCUGCUGUUUUGCCUUCUGUGCUUCCAUUAAAAAUAAUAAUAAUAAUAAAGCUGAACAAAAACACAUCUGAAAUCUUUCACCAAGACAAGCCUGGAAGAAAAUACGUGGACCUGAUGACCCCGUAUUGGACGGAGCAUAUGACCAUUGAGGCUCACGGCCGUCGGACAGGACCUGAUCUACAGAGGACUGCUUGUCUCAGGUCAUGAUUGUGGCUCAGUGCUUGACAGGUACCACAUAUGCCGCAUCUUCCCACCUUUGUCCUCUUCCACUCAGGUCACGAAGUGCUGCCAGCCUGGCCACCUUCCAUUGUGUUGACUUGCUCAGAAACCUCCAAUUUCUUCACCAGCCUUUUGAGGUCCCACGCAUCUUCCACAAACUGCCUUCCCAUGCCCUCUGGAAGAUGAUGGUUCCCUGCUCUUGGCUUCCCUGCCAUUUACCUUGCUAAGAAUGCCUCUUCUCUUCCCCUAUCCAAAUCUGUGUCUUUACCUAAAAUGACUGCCUUUCCCCUCCAUCUCCAUGGAGCACAAUGUAGCUGGCCUAGGACAUAGAAUAAUUUUUUUUUUUUCCAUGUGCAGGUUUUGAAAUUUAGCUAGCUCACUUUCUUCGCAGAGUGCCUCCUCUUAAACAGUUAUGUUUUUUUCUUCAUAAAAAGGGUCUAAAAUGUUUUUGAUAUCCAAGUCUAAACUGGCAUUCCGACACAAAAGCAUCACAGAGUCAAUUUCUGCCCUCUUGCAGGCAGCAGUCUUUAGGCAGCAUUACACCUCUGUCAUAUGUUAUCGGCAACCCUGGAAGUGUCCUUUCGUGACACAAAGUGACUGUGGCCACUACUCCCUCAGAGCAUGGGCUCAGGUGGACACAGCUUUGUUCUCUUGAUUUAAGAAGAUCAGCCAGCCCAGAUUUAGCUCAGCUGGUUAAUGUAACAGGGGCCAUCCCCCAGAGGAUCCUGUCAAGGAGCUUGGGACCUCUGGCUUCAUCCCUAUACCUAGUCUUUAAACUUCUGAUUCUUCCAAACCUUGCCUAAUAAUUUUGUUGGUGCACAGAGCUUUGGAGCUCCCUCCUUUUGAAGGAGAGUGCUGCCACUGCAUUUUUGGAGAUGUCGUGCAUUAUGAUGGUGGGGGCCAGGAAAGUGGCUGCUCAUCCCUUAAAACCACCCUUGGAAGCCAUUUCAUGAAAAGGAAGGACAGUGAGGGUGAAGAGAACUCGGGCACUGGAAUCAUGAAAUAUUACCCUGAGAUAAGGAUUGAUGUUAUUGCCACUGACUGCAAAAUCUUCUAGAGGUACAAUGUCACCAGCUUUUCACAGUGUCCAAAAUUUAUCUGACAAGGACAAAAUGCUAGCUUUCAGCAUCACCUCUAGACAAAGACUCAAUAUUCUCAGUGAAGUUGUUUUUCUUAUUCUCACCGAAGUAGCAGAGCUCUGAAAAUAUGACAGCUAUUCACCAAAAUUUUUUUACUUCCAAGAUUUUUAAACCACAUGGGGCAGAAAGAAUGUUCACUGAAAUAACUAAUCAGAAUUCCUAGGUGCCUUUCUCCUCUCAGUCCCUCAGAACUCCAGACCUGCAUUUUAGCACUGAGUUUUUUGCUUUGUCCUGUUUUACUCUAGUUGUGUAAACACUCUGGUCUCCCCAUCAGACCAAACUACUCGGGGCAAGGACUUUACAUUUUUUUCUUCUCCUUUUCUGCCUUUCUUUAUAUAGCCUAUUAUUAACUGUUUAAAAAAAAAAAAAAAACUAAGGCUGUUUCUUAAUGUAGCUUAUUACCAAAAAGGUCCUCAUGCUCUCUUGAUUUAAGAAGAUCAGCCAGCCCAGAUUUAGCUCAGCUGGUUAAUGUAACAGGGGCCAUCCCCCAGAGGAUCCUGUCAAGUAGCUUGGGACCUCUGGCUUCAUCUCUGUCCCCGGUCUUUAAACUUCUGAUUCUUCCAAACCUUGCCUAAUAAUUCUGUUGGUGCACAGAGCUUUGCCAUAGAGCUACAACCUUGGCCACUAUGGUGAAGACUUAAUCCACCAUUGUACCUUAUGUCCAGAGAGUGGUCUCUGGUGAGUCCUUAGUAACUACUAGAUGAGUUGUUUUGUUGACUAAGUGGUAUUCUCUUUUACUCUAUGACUGGAACAAUGACUAAUUCUAGGCCUCUAUUCAGAUGUUGGGUGAGAGUUUUGUUAAUAACAUCUGAUUUUUUGUGGGACACUAGGGCUCAAACUUGGGACCUUCCCCAGUUUCAGGCAAGUCCUCUACGAUUGAGCUCCAUCCUCGGCCUUUUUGGAGCCAGGGUCUUGCCAAGUUGCCCAGGCUGUCCUGGAACUUGGAAUCUUCCUGCCUCAGACUCCUGAGCUGCUAGGAUUACAGGUGUGUGCCACUGUUCCUGUCUUGAAAAUCAAAAUCUGAGCUAGCUGUACAGGCUCUAGAUCACCAGGACCAAAUAGUAUUCUUAAGAGAGGGCUCUUUUUAUUUUUUGCCAAGUCCUAGCUUCAUGGCCAGUUUCAGAGUGUCACUUGCCAUCUUGGCUAGUUCUGCUUCUCACUUUGGCUCAUUAUAUAAUGAGUGUGACUUUAAUGAGAAUGUGGAUGGGCUCAGAAUUAACCAGGUAGUUUUGAACCAAGACAGCCUUAGUCUUAAACCCUGCUGCUGCCAUUCCAAAAACAGACACCCAAUGCCUUAGUUAUCUCAUGGGCAAAGUUUCCUCAUUUGAGAGGUGAGGUCAGUAAGCCCUACCUCAGAGGGUAUUUCUGAAGGAGUAAAAUAAUAGAUUCUCAGUGCUAAGUGAAUGCUAGCCAUCAAUAUUCCUUAUAUGGAUCUAGAAAUCCAAAGGUGAGAGUACUACUAUCACCAAAAUAAUUAAAAAUAAACCCUUUACUUUUUAAUCACUACAAUCUUUUUUCUACCUUUCUUUAUAUAGCCUAUUAUUAACUGUUUAUGAAACAGCCUUAGUUUUUUUUUAAAUGUAGCUCAUUGCCAAAAAGGAAUAAAUGCUUUUAAAAUCUUUCAAAUUUUGCAAGGCAAGAUUUUGUACUUACUCUGCCCUUUACGUUCCCCCUUACUGUUCUCUUUAGAAAAGAGAAUAUUCUUCCUAAUCUGAAUAGCUUCAAUUUUCAAUCUUUCAAGCCAGGAAAGAUUGUGAGGUGCCAACAGUAGAAAGAUAUGUCCUUCCUGCCUGCAUUCCCUGUUCCACUCCUAUAAAUAUCAGCAAACAAUAUUUAAACUAUAAAGUUCAGGGGAGGGGGGCUAAAUUUCUCAGUCACUGUAUUUAUUUAUUUAUUUUUAAGGGCACAGAUGCCCAGAAUUUGUUAACCGUCAUGAUUUGGAUGCAGCCAAGCCCAUUUUAAGUCAGACUAAGUACACAGAGGUAUAGCUGAUUAUUUUGAAUAAUUAAAUGGUGUCAAAACCAGCUGUGAUGAAUAGCACUGGGGUCUCAAAUCAUAAAUAAUUGAGAAACCAGAGUUGCAUUUGAUCAUCCUGAUCAAGUUCUGCUCUCUAGAGGAUAAAUGUUUGUCCUGAAUACCAUCAACAUUGUUAAAUGCCUCAAUAUUCUUGCUCAGUCAUCCAGCCAACAGUCAAUUGAACUAAAUCACUUUAACACCACACACAUUUGCUGUCCUCAUGAAUACAAAAUGUUUGACUUAAACCAUGUUCACUGUAGUUGAAUAGGCACCUUUUUGGGUCGGCAUCUAAUAGGAGCAUUAAGUACCUGACAUGCUUUUGUUUGUUCCAGGAAACAUAUGACUUUGCAGAAUAAAUCGCGAGAGUCCUUUCUACCACCUUUGCCCCUGUUCUGCUCAAAGAGAUGACACAAAAACUAAGAGAAAGACUUAAUUUAAAAUGAGUUGUCAAUAUAAUUGCCUUUCUGAUAGCCUUUGGGGAUUCCACAUUUGCAUAGAGACGGGAUUUUUGUCCUAUUUCUCAUUGUUCCUGUAGGAUGAUUACUCCUCCCAGCUGUGUGGCUCCCGGAUGAUUCCCCAAGCACUUACCUCCCAUCCCCUCACUUGAGCCCCAGAACCAAUUGUGCAGAAAAAGAGGUGGGCAGGUUAGCAUCAUCACCAUCAUUUCCAUUUUAAAGUAGAAAUGAGAACGAGAAAGGAACUGACUUACCCACAAAGCUAGAAGACAGCUGAGCUGCCAUGAAAACUUGGCCUCCUCGGCACAACUCUUGCUGCCAGAGAUGUGCCUUAGUUAAGCGCCUCAGUGAAGAAAAGGGCAGUCUGUUUAAUAGCUCCUCAUUGACACCCUGUCACUGCUGAACUGGCACAGAACCCAGAGUUGGCAGGAUAGCGCGUGCCGCGCUCUACCUUGUUUCCUAUACACCAGUUCUUAAAAUCAGAAGGCUGUGUUAACCACGUCUUGUCUCCAAGGAUUAAUAAUCAUGCAAACAACCACCAUCAAUGAUUUGCUUGCUUCUUAAUAAUUAACCCAGCACUUUCAAAGAUGCUUAUCGUGUGUGUUUCGUAACAACUUUAGGAUGUGGGCAACAUUAGCAGCAUUUUUUUUUUUUUCAAUGAGGAAACUAGGGAUCAGAGAUGAAGUGAUUGGCCCACGGGCUGUGAAGCUCACUACUGGUGCAGCCAGCACCCAGUUCCUCACGCCAACCUGCUGUCUCCGCUACACCACGUGCAGCGCAGACAUGACAGGGAAUUGGGGCGCUUAACUAUGACUUCUCCACUAGAAGGAAGGUGAAGAAAGAACCCCCAAAAUCAACCACCACUAUCUGCCUCUUUUCAACCACUAAGUCUGUUCUUUCACAAAAGCACAUGUUCAGGACCAGUGCAACCAAUUCCCUUUCACAUGAUUUUUCUGGGAAGAGAAUGGCUGUAAAAAUCACAUAUGAAAAAAAUAAUCUCCAAUUGUCAGUUGUUUUGUUAUGCCGAAAAUAAACUCAGGUUGACAAUAA